AGAGGGCGCCAAAGGCGACGCGCUGGCGGCAAGCUCCAAGCCAACCAGGCCCGUUGCGUCCGUCCGUCUGCAGGAACCUGUCUCUUCACCCUGCAUUGGACGCUGAGCUUCGGAGAGGAUCUGGCUGCGUGAGGAUUCAACGCCAGGGCGCCGCCUAGAGGUCGGUCGCGUCCUCGGUCUCGCUCACCGAUCAGAGCUGCUUGUCCAAGCCACAGUGUCAGACUUAAACAAAACAAAAUUCCUGCUUGGGUUAGGGACUUGGCUUCUGGGACCGUUGACUUAUCAGAAACCUGCCUCCUUUCUACUUCAUAAUGAACCCCCAGGAAGAGAGAGGGACCAGGGAUCUCAAAGAAAUAUUUGUCCUGGUGACACUGACUAGAUGGGAGAAAAGAGUCUCAACGUGACAAGAGGGGAUAUAAACUGUUUGAAGUUCAUCAGCACGGUGAAGUUUUAUUGUAUUUCCUCCGGUCCCUAAGAUUUACACCCUGAAAAAGAAACCGGCAGCCAGGCAGACUCCCUUCUUACCUCCGAGUUUCCACACCGGGGGGACACACACACACACGUGGCCAAGUGGACACUUGCCUUCAGGAGCAGAGAGGGAGGGAACCGGCUCCAACCGACUCUCCCUCACGGGCUCAGUUCUACUUGGCUCCACUUUCCUGUCUACUCCCCUGUCUCAAGGCUCGGGUUGCCUUAGAGUUGGAAGGUUUGAUAUCUGGGAGCUGCCUGGGAGUCUGGGUAACUCUGGAACCCAGGGACUGGCCAGAUGGUGAGUGUGUGUGAAUCUUCCUA
rnacentral:lncRNA from 1 species